rnacentral:misc_RNA from 1 species
CCGUAAGAUAAUGCCGGGGAAGGUUUUCCGGUUUAUCCCGGAGGGCUUGUAGCUCAGUUGGUUAGAGCGCGCGCUUGAUAAGCGUGAGGUCGGAGGUUCAAGUCCUCCCAGGCCCACCAUUUUGUAUCAAUCUAUAAGCGCUUGUAGAACUUUCUUCUAUAAGGCUUUCUUGUAUAUUUAUAUGAAGCUUAUCUACGAAGAAGUUUCCUUAUCAAAAUGUGAAGUUUCUUUCCUUUGCUUAAGCAAUCGGGAGUUAAAGCGGUUCAAACGAACAGUGAUCCCAUAAAGGGUAAUGUUGAAUUGAAAAAUCUCAUUUACAAGUUUUGAACCUUUUCUCUUUAUUUAGGGGCCGUAGCUCAGCUGGGAGAGCACCUGCUUUGCAAGCAGGGGGCGUCGGUUCGAUCUCGAAUUUAAAAGUUUCGAAUGCUUUAUCCUUUUUUGGGGGCCGUAGCUCAGCUGGGAGAGCACCUGCUUUGCAAGCAGGGGG